rnacentral:misc_RNA from 1 species
GAAAUAUCACAUUGGACCUAAAAAGUGAACCUUCAUCUGAUUGAAUAGUAAUCAUUAAACAGAACCCGAGCUACUUCAGCUGAAGUAGAUGCAGGUGCCAACAGUAAACACUCAUAUUAGAGGGAAAUAUCUCACAUAUCAUGCAGAUGAAAAAUAUAACUUCUUAUUCUUUAUUCCAAAAUUGAAAUUUCUCAUAUGUCAACAAAAGUUAUGUGGA